rnacentral:rRNA from 1 species
UACAGAGGUCCCAAGCGUUGUUCGGAUUCAUUGGGCGUAAAGAGCGUGUAGGCGGCCAUACAGGUCAGCUGUGAAAACUCGAGGCUCAACCUCGAGACGUCGGUUGAAACCGUAUGGCUAGAGUCCGGAAGAGGAGAGUGGAAUUCCCGGUGUAGCGGUGAAAUGCGCAGAUAUCGGGAAGAACACCCGUGGCGAAGGCGGCUCUCUGGGACGGUACUGACGCUGAGGCGCGAAAGCGUGGGGAGCAAACAGG